UGGAAAAUCACAUCUGCCCCAUCUAGAAACUUUAAUUCUCAAGUGUUCAAAGUAUACACGGUUAUCAGGGAAUUUUUGGAAAAUGAAAAAAUUAAGGCGUGUAGAGUUUACUAAAGCUGGUUUUUUUUUUGGAGAAAGCAGAUCAUUGAAGAAUCCUCUAAGUUGGAAAAUUUGAGGACAUUAAAGGGUGUUGAGUUAAACCUCGAAGCUGAUUGCUUGAAUGUUUUAGUACAGAGGUGUCCUAAUCUUCAAGAACUUGAAAUCUUUUUUUUGAUAAAUUAUUCUGAUGAAGAAAAGAUUUGUCUCAAAUUGGAGAGUCUUACCCAGCUUCAUUCACUUAGCCUUUUCUUUCCCUUGUCCGCUGUUGUACCCAAGUUACACUUGCCUUCAAAUGUGAAGAAAUUGUUACUACACUGGCCUCGAAUAGAAAGCACGAUUUUCUUCAUUGCGGGACUAGCAAAUCUGGAGUAUCUCGAUUUAAGUGAUCCGGAUUUUGUUGGUUCCGGAGAGUGGUGUCUUGGAGAUAUCACGUUCCCUAAACUUAAGGUGUUGAAACUUAGGAACUUAGGUAUCUCAAAGUGGGAUGCGUCAGAGGAAUCUUUCCCGAGCUUGAAACACUUGUUAUAAAAAUGGUCUGGUAUCUCGAGGAGAUCCCCCUUAGCUUUGCAGAUAUUCCAACGCUGAAACGGAUUGACUUGAUGAGGUGCAGCAGCCGUGAAUCUCUGGUGGCUUCAGCUUUGAGAAUUAAGGAAGAAGUUAAAGAGAUUGAAGGAUGUGACCGUAUUCACCUCAAUAUUUAUGGAUGUUUCUGGCAGUGGUUCGUCAAGCACGUGCUUGUUGCAACAACAUGGUAUAGUUUUCAGGUUUUUCUUGUUCCUUAACCCNAAAAGCACAGACAGAGUGGACGGAUGGAGUUCUUUCUUAGCAAAUUGUUGUAGUCAUGCUCUCAUGCUGGGGUCUAUUAUGCAGCUAGCGGAAAUCCCAGUCUCCUUAUACUGUAACAUUACUACUGAUAGCUAAGUCUGUUUUGAUUGAUCGAUUGAGACGCAUACCCUCUUUUUUCUGUAUGUUUCUUAUGAGCCUAAAAUCUGUCUUUGAUUUGAUUAUCUUGUGACUGUUCUUCAUAUAUACCUAUAUGUUAUAGAAGAUUUAAUC